UCUCUCUCUCUAUAUCCAUAGUCGCUGAUGGGGUAUCCAUCUCUGAUUUGGGGGUGAAUCCGUUGAUUGAGAGGUUAAUUUGGUAAAAAAUAGGGUUCGUCUGCUGUCUCAAAGGCUAAGCCAAGCUUCUUGAAGUUCAGAUCUUAGCGAAAUUCCAAAUCAUGCCAAUAAUUUCAUCUCCAAUUUCAAUGUUUUUUACCUCUCUUUGUUUCCCCAGCCUUGCAAUUUUGGUUGACUACUUCAUUGUUUCAAUUAAAAUGUGUUUAAUAUUUUCCAGUAAUCUGAAAAUCUGAGAGCAGAAAUCGACUUUCUGAGGUAACAUUUCUCAGCUUAUCAAAAAUUGGAGUGUUGAAGAAUCUCUGAGUAAGCAGUCACAGAUGCUAAGGACUGGCUUACAACACAAACAAAGACUCGACCCCUUGUGUUGAGCUCUUUGGGUUCUCAUUCAAGGGCGGACUACUCUGUUUUGGGUAGCUCUAGUAUGUUGAAGAAUCUCUGAGUAAGCAGUCACAUAUGCUAAGGACUGGCUUACAGCACAAACAAAGACUCAACCCCUUGUGUUGAGCUCUUUGGGUUCUCAUUCAAGGGUGGACUACUCUGUUUUAGGUAGCUCUGGUAUGUCUUGCAAAUCAGAUGGUGUCUGGCGAAAGGAUCUUCUGGCUGCGGGUUUAGGUUAGAUGUCCUCUCUUCCCCCUGGAAUCAUCUCACAUCAGUCUGCUCUAUGCAACAAGAUAUUGUCUUCAAAGCUUCAAGCAAAGGAAGUUGAGAUUGAAUCACUUGAGACUCGGUUGAAUGUGCUGUCCAUUUGGCAAACGAUUCAAGAUGUCUUGAU